rnacentral:lncRNA from 1 species
UGCCUUUCGUUGAUGACAUUUAUAUAAUGCAUUUCAAUGAAUUAAUGUUAGUGGGUUACAGCCUUUUGAGUUUUAUUUUUUUUACCAUUGUUGCGUGAUGCUUAUUAUUCCAACUCAAGCUAUGGCCAUUACUUGCAUUCACCAUGUUGUUUCAUGUCUCAUUAAACCAUAUGUAAUGCAUGUCUAAUUAGUUGCUGGCACUUUUUUUUUAUUUUUUAUUUUUCAUUUUAUUUUAUUUUUCUUUUCAUUUCCUUUUUUUUAGUGACUUAUCUUUAAUUUUUAUUUUAAUUUUAGUCUACACUUUAAUGUUUUUAACUAAGCUAGUUAGGUUUAAUUUGCGUGUUUUAAUUUAGUCUUAUUGCAUUCACAAAACACUUUCAAACCCCCCUACUGUGUGUGUGACCUAAAUUUCUGAAUCGCAAUUGGUCCUUGAGAGACGACCUAGGAGUCACUUCCUAGUUAUACUGCAUUCCUAAUUUGCAAUCAAAUUUGUAUGGGCUGC